GAAGCGGGUCGCUGGGGGCGGGAGUCAGAGAAGCCCCUUCCCAGGAUGUAAAGUCUGGCUUCCAAGGUGCUGCGGGCACCCUGGAGGUUAGAGCACCCGCUCCCCACCCUUGGGGUGGGGACGCGCCGGGGCCUGAGCUCGGCCUCAGGGGGACCAGGUCUUGGUGCCCUGGCUCUCCUGCAGCAGUCAGGGGGCCCCAGGACUUGGGGAAUGGCACCGAGCGGAGCACAGGGGCCUGGUGGCGGCUGCGGCCGCACCUCGCUCCAGGCCCUGUGGCGCGGCGGGUGGGGGCGUCGCGGUUCCGCGCACCUGCGUCUGGGCGGGAGCGCGGGGCUGGCGGGGAGGUGGUCGCGGGCCCGGGCGACUGCUGGGAGCCGCUCGUGGCUCCGCAAGCUGGCGGCCCGGUUCCGGCAGAGCGGAACCAGCUCAGAGGCUCCCGGAGGGCCCGGCCUCCCUCCGCGUGGGCCAGCUCCCCGCACGCUUCACUCGCUCCUCUCGCCCUCCAUCCUGCCAGCCACAACCCGGUGUGGGAUGCCGUCGGCCCGGCGGUGUCAAGCCCCAGCCUCCCACGCGGCCACCUCGGCUAGGACGGCGUGAGGACCCCAGAGUGACCCAAGGGUCCUGGGGCGGCCAGAGGCCGGCGACCCAGAGCAGGCUGGAGCCCAGGUCAGGGCGCGCGGCUCCAGACCAGAUGGCCACUCUGCUUCUCCACAGCCUGACCUGGCGUGACAAAGCGUCGUACGGGUGAAGAGCUCGGGUUCUAACCCGCACCCUGUGCGCCCCCUCGCCGCGCCCGCCGUGGGAAGCGGGGACCGUGCGUGCAGCCCGGACUCCCGCCCGGGGCCGCCUGACCGCGCUCUCCGCGGGCCACCUCCGGGGGAAGCCAAACCUGCUGCCCCUCGUCGGGAAAGGAUGUAGGUGCCGACCCCUCAGCUCGCUGCUUGAAAGGACGCACUACCCCGCCCGGCUCCCAGCCCUCUCCGUUUGAAUGCCUUCCUCAUUUCCGGUGCAGGAGAAGUGUUAUCUUCUAAUUCUUGGAAAACUUUAGCAAAGUUUCCCUACAGUCAUGACUCAGCUGUCGUGAAGAAGGAAGGACAUGUUUGUUUUUUCCUGCCCCCCUUGAUCAUGAGGGCUUAGAGUUUUGAUAAAGAAUUUCAAUUUAAAGAAUUUCAAUAACAUCAGAAAAAUGUUAAAUAUAACAGAAAGUAUUUGUGAGACA